GAUAGCUCAUACACCAGGUAUCCUUCCAAUUUUUAUCUACCACAUGUGAAUGUGGGACUGCCUGUUCUGCUGCCUCUCCAUGCCAUAC